rnacentral:sRNA from 1 species
AUACAAUAACUGUUCUAGCUCUACCGUAUCUUUUGUUUCAUUU